UACGUAGGGUGCAAGCGUUGUCCGGAAUUAUUGGGCGUAAAGAGCUCGUAGGCGGUCUGUCGCGUCGGCUGUGAAAACUCGGGGCUCAACUCCGAGCUUGCAGUCGAUACGGGCAGGCUAGAGUUCGGCAGGGGAGACUGGAAUUCCUGGUGUAGCGGUGAAAUGCGCAGAUAUCAGGAAGAACACCCGUGGCGAAGGCGGCUCUCUGGGACGGUACUGACGCUGAGACGCGAAAGCGUGGGGAGCGAACAGG
rnacentral:rRNA from 1 species